rnacentral:misc_RNA from 1 species
CGACCUUGGAGGAGAACGUGCAUGGAUCACUCGUGGGCCUCGCAGUUGAGAUUGUCCCCGGUGGCCAUAUUAGUAUGCUGAACGCAAGGUGGCUGCCAUGUUCCUGCGUGGGUCCAUACAAGCCCCAGAGCCAGUGUUCGAGUGCUGUCGAAUAAGUUCGAGCGCCAUCAGGAGACAGGAGUUCAAA